UGUGGGAGCUGGCUUGCCUGCGAUAGCGGUGUGUCAGCUUGCGGGUUUAUCAACUGGCCCACCGCUAUCGCAGGCAAGCCAGCUCCCACA
rnacentral:antisense_RNA from 1 species